rnacentral:rRNA from 1 species
GCUUAACGCGAAGAACCUUACCUGGGUUUGACAUACACCGGAAAGCUGCAGAGAUGUGGCCCCUUUUGCUGGUGUACAGGUGGUGCAUGGCUGUCGUCAGCUCGUGUCGUGAGAUGUUGGGUUAAGUCCCGCAACGAGCGCAACCCUCGUCCUAUGUUGCCAGCACGUGUCUUCGGGCAUGGUGGGGACUCAUAGGAGACUGCCGGGGUCAACUCGGAGGAAGGUGGGGAUGACGUCAAGUCAUCAUGCCCCUUAUGUCCAGGGCUUCACGCAUGCUACAAUCGGCCGGUACAAAGGGCUGCGAUGCUGUAAGGCGGAGCGAAUCCCAAAAAGCCGGUCUCAGUUCGGAUUGGGGUCUGCAACUCGACCCCAUGAAGUCGGAGUCGCUAGUAAUCGCAGAUCAGCAACGCUGCGGUGAAUACGUUCCCGGGUCUUGUACACACCG